GCAAGAAGGGGUGGGGGUGGGAGAAAGAUGCAUGCAAACUAGGUCAGUACAAUUUUUAAGCAACUUUCCCCAAAGCACCUUGUUGCUUUGACAAGAAGAUAGUCACACAGCUACCUCUACAUGCAGAGACUUUAAAAUAUGCCUUUUUAGCUGGGCAUGUUGACAUCCCCAACAAAAUCUGGAUUAAGUGGAGAGGGAAGAGGAACACAACUUUUUCUUCCAAGAAACGUUGAGCUCCUAAGUGCAGGGACCUAACCUGUGGGGAUAUAGGGAUAUAAAGAGAUGAAUAAGACAAAGUCCUUGACCAUAAUCACCGUCAUUAAUUUUUAAUAUCAAAUUAAUGUAAUUAGGAACAAUCUUCUCUAAGAGGAUUGGCUUAUCGGGUUUGUUUAUCUUCCACAGAAAGUCAAAUCUCAAGUUACUGCACUUUUCUUUGAGAUAAAUAUGAAUGAAAACUCUUGGCUAACCUAGUGAUUAAUACCUCUUUCAAUCACAGGGCAUUACUGAUCAUCUAUUUAGUUAACAUUUUUAUACCAAGAAUGUGGUAGUUGUAUUGCUUAAUAUUUGUCUGCUCUGGCCCCAAUCCACAGCACAGAGUUUAAUAGUGACCUUUUACAAAAGAAGAGGAAUCAAGUCCACUUUUUCAAUGUCCUAUGAUUGAUUCAUCCCCAAUUCUACACCACAACCAUUCUCUCUCUCUACUCUGAUAGGAGGCAUUAAUAUAUGAAGGUUUUUUAAGAUAAAGUAUUAACAGAAAUUACAUAUUUCCUCUGAACAUUUUUCCUUUUUAAUAGAAAAAAAUUAAAAAUUCUUUGUAGCUGGAGCAGGAUUUGAUACUUCACCUUUAAAUGGGAAUAUUGACCUAUGUCAGUAACAUCCAGAACUCAUUUUACUUUGCUUUCAAACAAUAUUUGGGAACAGUAUAGUAUUUUUAAAAGAUAAGCAUCUCAGAAAGUUGUUUAUUAGACUGUCUAACACUGUGGAAACAAGAUGGGUCUGCAGAAAAUUCACAGAGCUCCUCACAGUCACCAAUAUCUUUUACAGCCAAAGGAAGAUUUGCUUUGUGAAAAAAGGUCCAAUUUAUAUUAGAGAAAGUGCUUCUGGCAGGUCUUUCCUAGAAUACCUUCCUUGGGCUUUUGUCAUAAAAAUUCAGUUGAAUUCUGACAUGUUUUGCCUCUACGUGCUCCACCACUGCUUCUUUCUUUCCUCAUUAGUUUUUUUGUUUCGUUUAAUACAGGGUCUUGUCCAGGCAUGGUGGCUCAGGCCUGUAAUGCCAGCACUUUGGGAAGCUGAGGUGGGUGGAUCACCUGAGGUCAGGAGUUCGAGACCAGCCUGGCCAACAUGGCAAACCCUGUCUCUACUAAAAAUACAAAAGUUAGCCGGGUAUGUUGGUGGGCACCUAUAAUCCUAGCUACUCGGGAGGCUGAGGCAGGAGAAUUGCUUGAACCUGAGAGAUGGAGGUUGCAGUGAGCCAAGAUCAUGCCACUGCACUUCACUCUGGGGGACAGAGCAAGACUAUGUUUCAAAAAAAAAAAAAGACAGGGUCUUGCUCUGUCACCCAGGCUGGAUGCAGUGGCGCAAUCAUAGCCCACCUCAAGUUUGAAUUCCUAAGCUCAAGGGAUCCUCCUGCCUUGGCCUCCCAAAGUUCUGGAAAUACAGGCAUAAGCCACUGCACUUGCCCUCUAAUCAGUCUUUUAAAGAGCUAUGAAGUGUUCCUCACUUCUGUGCUCUGUGCAAUGUUAAAUAUACAAACAAAAUAAACUAGGAAUAAAUUGACAUCAGUAUUUAAGAAAAGUGUUACAUGUAUGUGAUGGGAUAUGAGCUAGAAUAAGGAGAGGCAGGGCACUAUAGGCUUUUAAAUUAUUAAAAUUUUGUAUUAUACAGGAAAGAAAGUUAUGAAGAAGGUGGCUUUACUGGGACUCUCAGUUACAAGACACAGAAAUCCAACCUGAACCAGCUUAAGCAAAAAAGGAAUUUAUCUUUCAUGUAACUAACCACAGAAAGGUUAGGGGUAGAGCCAGGCUCGGGGACAAUGGGAUUGAGGAGUUCAAACAUCCUCAAGUCUUUGCCUUUUUCUCCCUCCUCUCUCAUCUUCACGGUCUUUUUUCUAGAUUGGCUGCAUUCCAUUGGGAAGACUGGAACCACAGCCACUUAGAGCUCUGGGCAUUCUUUUGUACAAGUGCUUGAAAACAUUUCCUCCCAGCUGUAAUGAGAACUCCUGUUGCCAGGAACAAGGUUACUGUCUGCUCUAUGGACACCAGAAGAUUUCGGAGUAGAACAGUUGAGGUGGGCCAGUGAGACCAGGACACAGGUGUAAGAUACUUCACCCUCCGUGAGCCUUAACAGAAAUGGACAUUUUCUUGAGCAGGAAUUAUGCAUUAAAUCUUGGGAUGUACAUAGCACAGGGUCUUGCUCCCAGGUACUCAAUAAAUAUUAAUUUACCAACAAGAGAAACAA